rnacentral:rRNA from 1 species
AGCAGCCGCGGUAAUUCCAGCUCCAAUAGCGUAUAUUAAAGUUGUUGCAGUUAAAAAGCUCGUAGUUGAAUUUCGGGGUUAAUAAGUUGGUCGUGCCAAUGGUAUGUACUGGCUUUAUUGAUUCCUACCUCUCGACGAACUGUGAUGCCAUUAAUUUGGGUGUUGCAGGAAAUCAGGACUGUUACCUUGAAAAAAUUAGAGUGUUUAAAGCAGGCUUACGCUUGAAUACAUUAGCAUGGAAUAAUGAAAUAGGACGUUUGAACCUAUUUUGUUGGUUUCUAGGAUCGACGUAAUGAUUAAUAGGGAUAGUUGGGGGCAUUAGUAUUCAAUUGUCAGAGGUGAAAUUCUUGGAUUUAUUGAAGACUAACUACUGCGAAAGCAUUUGC